AGAGUUUGAUCCUGGCUCAGGACAAACGCUGGCGGCAUGCCUAACACAUGCAAGUCGAACGGACGGAGGAAAGAGAUCUCUUCGGAGUGACCUUUCCCGAGUUAGUGGCGGAUGGGUGAGUAACGCGUGAGUGACCUGCCCAACAGUGGGGAAUAACAGUGAGAAAUCAUUGCUAAUACCGCAUACCUUACAAGUGCUUCAUGGUACCUGUAAGAAAGACGGCCUUCGUGCUGUCGCUGUUGGAUGGACUCGCGUCUGAUUAGCCAGUUGGUGGGGUAACGGCCUACCAAAGCAAUGAUCAGUAGCCGGCCUGAGAGGGUGAACGGCCACAUUGGGACUGAGACACGGCCCAAACUCCUACGGGAGGCAGCAGUGGGGAAUCUUCCGCAAUGGGCGCAAGCCUGACGGAGCAAUGCCGCGUGAGUGAAGAAGGCCUUCGGGUUGUAAAACUCUGUCCUCAUCCAAGAGAAGGAAAGGUAGUAACUGGCCUUUCCAGGACGGUAGAUGAGGAGGAAGCCCCGGCUAACUAUGUGCCAGCAGCCGCGGUAAAACAUAGGGGGCAAGCGUUGUCCGGAAUCACUGGGCGUAAAGGGCGCGCAGGCGGUCUGUUAAGUCAGAUGUGAAAGGUUAGGGCUCAACCCUGAACGUGCAUCUGAUACUGGCAGACUUGAGUAUGGAAGAGGUAAGUGGAAUUCCUAGUGUAGCGGUGAAAUGCGUAGAUAUUAGGAGGAACACCAGUGGCGAAGGCGACUUACUGGGCCAUAACUGACGCUGAGGCGCGAAAGCGUGGGGAGCAAACAGGAUUAGAUACCCUGGUAGUCCACGCCGUAAACGAUGGGUACUAGGUGUCGGAGGUUUCAAGACCGUCGGUGCCGCAGUUAACACAAUAAGUACCCCGCCUGGGGAGUACGGUCGCAAGACUGAAACUCAAAGGAAUUGACGGGGGCCCGCACAAGCGGUGGAGCAUGUGGUUUAAUUCGACGCAACGCGAAGAACCUUACCAAGACUUGACAUCCUGCUGCCGAGUGAUGUAAUGUCACUUUUCCUUCGGGACAGCAGAGACAGGUGGUGCAUGGUUGUCGUCAGCUCGUGUCGUGAGAUGUUGGGUUAAGU
rnacentral:rRNA from 1 species